UGGGUAAGGGAUGAAAGUCAAGGUGACCUAUUACGAUGUUAGGUGGGGAACGUGUGCCCCACAUUGGGGAGACGUAACUUGUACAUGGGGAUAAUGUGCAGAAAGCCGAGCUAUUACUGAAUAAUACUUUACUCUUUAUGGAGGAAAUUUUGUAAUGAGAUUAUGUAUACAGUAUUAGAUGGGGCUUCGGCACAUUAUCUAGUUGGUGAGGUAAGGUUCACCAAUGUUACUAUGCCUUACCCACCUGAUAUGGUGAUCGGACACACUGGGACUGAGACACAGUCCAUACUUUUACGGGAGGCAGCAGUGGG
rnacentral:sRNA from 1 species